UACGUAGGGGGCUAGCGUUGUCCGGAUUUAUUGGGCGUAAAGAGCGUGUAGGCGGCCAGGUAGGUCUGGUGUGAAAACUCGAGGCUUAACCUCGAGAUGUCAUCGGAAACCAUCUGGCUAGAGUCCGGAAGAGGCGAGUGGAAUUCCUGGUGUAGCGGUGAAAUGCGCAGAUAUCAGGAAGAACACCUAUGGCGAAAGCAGCUCUCUGGGACGGUACUGACGCUGAGACGCGAAAGCGUGGGGAGCGAACAGG
rnacentral:rRNA from 1 species